rnacentral:rRNA from 1 species
AUUGAACGCUAGCGGGAUGCUUUACACAUGCAAGUCGAACGGCAGCGCGGACUUCGGUCUGGCGGCGAGUGGCGAACGGGUGAGUAAUGUAUCGGAACGUGGCCAGUAGCGGGGGAUAACUACGCGAAAGCGUAGCUAAUACCGCAUACGCCCUACGGGGGAAAGCAGGGGAUCGUAAGACCUUGCACUAUUGGAGCGGCCGAUAUCGGAUUAGCUAGUUGGUGAGGUAACGGCUCACCAAGGCGACGAUCCGUAGCUGGUUUGAGAGGACGACCAGCCACACUGGGACUGAGACACGGCCCAGACUCCUACGGGAGGCAGCAGUGGGGAAUUUUGGACAAUGGGGGCAACCCUGAUCCAGCCAUCCCGCGUGUGCGAUGAAGGCCUUCGGGUUGUAAAGCACUUUUGGCAGGAAAGAAACGUCGCGGGCUAAUACCCCGUGGAACUGACGGUACCUGCAGAAUAAGCACCGGCUAACUACGUG